rnacentral:tRNA from 1 species
GCGCGAGUGGCGGAAUUGGUAGACGCGCUACUCUCAGGAGGUAGUGUCCAUUGGACGUGUCGGUUCGACUCCGGUCUCGCGCA